AACGAACGCUGGCGGCAUGCCUAACACAUGCAAGUCGAACGCCCUCUUCGGAGGGAGUGGCGCACGGGUGCGUAACGCGUGGGAACCUGCCCUUAGGUUCGGAAUAACUCAGAGAAAUUUGAGCUAAUACCGGAUAAUGUCUUCGGACCAAAGAUUUAUCGCCUUUGGAUGGGCCCGCGUUGGAUUAGCUAGUUGGUGGGGUAAAGGCCUACCAAGGCGACGAUCCAUAGCUGGUCUGAGAGGAUGAUCAGCCACACUGGGACUGAGACACGGUCCAGACUCCUACGGGAGGCAGCAGUGGGGAAUUUUGGUACAAUGGGCGAAAGGCCUGAUCCAGCAAUGCCGCGUGAGUGAUGAAGGCCUUAGGGUUGU
rnacentral:rRNA from 1 species